rnacentral:lncRNA from 1 species
AAUGCUCUAAGCCCCUCUCGGUUACCCCUUUAAAGGAUGCCUUACUCCUACAUUUAUGAGGAGAUGUUACUGAUUCGAUUAGUAGUUUUUUUUAUUUUUUUGCAGUCAUGUUAAACUGACAUCUAUGAGAUUGUAAAAAUCAUUUGAGUCAUGGUAUUUCUUAAUAAAAAUGCUAUACUUUUUCAUUGUCUUUCUUCAGAUAUUAG